AGCCAGACUCCAUGGGACAUGGCCUUUCCCAAUCCCAACAUAGGGUUAGGAGGGCAUCCUCCUGGCUGAACUUGGACUCUUCUUAGCUUCUGACUGGCUGUGUGACCUUGAGAGAAAUACUGUCCUUCUCUGGGCUCAGUUUCCCAGCCCGAACCUGGAAGAAAUGUGGCUACCAUCACUUUGCAGUAGCGGUGCCUGCUGCUUCACACUAUGCAGGGUGGGUAGGGAGGGUCAGCAUAUCCCUCGGGCUGUUUCUCUUCAGCCCUCAUUCUGUAUGUUUCAGCCACUGGGCCCCUGGAAGAACGGCAGAUUGCCUAUGUUUGCCGGGAGGCACUGAAGGGGCUCCACCACCUGCAUUCUCAGGGGAAAAUUCACCGAGACAUUAAGGGUGCCAACCUUCUGCUCACUCUGCAGGGUGAUGUCAAGCUGGCGGACUUUGGGGUGUCAGGCGAGCUGACGGCAUCUGUGGCCAAGAGACGGUCUUUCAUUGGCACUCCAUACUGGAUGGCGCCAGAGGUUGCUGCUGUGGAACGCAAGGGUGGCUACAAUGAGCUAUGUGACGUCUGGGCCCUGGGCAUCACUGCUAUUGAGCUGGGCGAGCUACAGCCACCGCUGUUCCACCUGCACCCCAUGAGGGCCUUGAUGCUCAUGUCGAAAAGCAGCUUCCAACCACCCAAGCUGAGAGACAAGACGCAUUGGUGAGGGCUCCAGCCAAGCCCCCA